GAUGAAGAACGUAGCGAAAUGCGAUAAGUAGUGUGAAUUGCAGAAUUCAGUGAAUCAUCGAAUCUUUGAACGCACAUUGCGCCCCUUGGUAUUCCAUGGAGCAUGCCUGUUCGAGCGUCAUUUGUACCCUCAAGCUUUGCUUGGUGUUGGGCGUCUUGUCGUAUUACGACUCGCCUUAAAUACAUUGGCAGCCGGCACUUUGGCCUAGGAGCGCAGCACAUUUUGCGAUCGUAGCCCGUUGUACUGGCGUCCAUCAAGAACAUUUACCACGUUUGACCUCGGAUCAGGUAGGGAUACCCGCUGAACUUAAGCAUAUCAAUAAGCGGAGGA
rnacentral:misc_RNA from 1 species